rnacentral:pre_miRNA from 1 species
AUUGGGGGAGGGGUCCCUCAGCCUGGAUUGCGAGAGGGCGCAGGGUAGGCCGAGGGACCCCACUGGUGCACG